AAAGUCUUUAGGGUUCAUGUCUAAGGUAACGGCUUUGUUGCGCAGUAUGGGGGUCAGUAGCAUUGGGUCAUUGAUAAUAGGGAAUUUCCUGUUGAGUUUGUCCCAUAUGGUUAUGGAGUUGCAUAGUGUUGAACGUGUGGGUGGUGGUGUGGGACGAAACUUACGGGGUACCCAAAGGUAUAGGGAGGGAAAGUCAAAGCCAAAGAGGUU